AGAGUUUGAUCCUGGAUCAGGACGAACGCUGGCGGCACGCUUAACACAUGCAAGUCGAACGAGAGAAGAGGAGCUUGCUUUUCUGAUCUAGUGGCGGACGGGUGAGUAACACGUGAGCAAUCUGCCUUUCAGAGGGGGAUACCGAUUGGAAACGAUCGUUAAUACCGCAUAACAUAAUUGAACCGCAUGAUUUGAUUAUCAAAGAUUUAUCGCUGAAAGAUGAGCUCGCGUCUGAUUAGCUAGUUGGUAAGGUAACGGCUUACCAAGGCGACGAUCAGUAGCCGGACUGAGAGGUUGAUCGGCCACAUUGGGACUGAGACACGGCCCAGACUCCUACGGGAGGCAGCAGUGGGGAAUAUUGCACAAUGGAGGAAACUCUGAUGCAGCGAUGCCGCGUGAGGGAAGAAGGUUUUAGGAUUGUAAACCUCUGUCUUCAGGGACGAAAAAAGACGGUACCUGAGGAGGAAGCUCCGGCUAACUACGUGCCAGCAGCCGCGGUAAUACGUAGGGAGCGAGCGUUGUCCGGAAUUACUGGGUGUAAAGGGAGCGUAGGCGGGAUCGCAAGUCAGAUGUGAAAACUAUGGGCUUAACCCAUAAACUGCAUUUGAAACUGUGGUUCUUGAGUGAAGUAGAGGUAAGCGGAAUUCCUAGUGUAGCGGUGAAAUGCGUAGAUAUUAGGAGGAACAUCAGUGGCGAAGGCGGCUUACUGGGCUUUAACUGACGCUGAGGCUCGAAAGCGUGGGGAGCAAACAGGAUUAGAUACCCUGGUAGUCCACGCCGUAAACGAUGAUUACUAGGUGUGGGGGGACUGACCCCUUCCGUGCCGCAGCAAACGCAAUAAGUAAUCCACCUGGGGAGUACGACCGCAAGGUUGAAACUCAAAGGAAUUGACGGGGGCCCGCACAAGCAGUGGAGUAUGUGGAUUAAUUCGAAGCAACGCGAAGAACCUUACCAGGUCUUGACAUCGUAUGCAUAGCUCAGAGAUGAGUGAAAUCUCUUCGGAGACAUAUAGACAGGUGGUGCAUGGUUGUCGUCAGCUCGUGUCGUGAGAUGUUGGGUUAAGUCCCGCAACGAGCGCAACCCUUACUGUUAGUUGCUACGCAAGAGCACUCUAGCAGGACUGCCGUUGACAAAACGGAGGAAGGUGGGGAUGACGUCAAAUCAUCAUGCCCCUUAUGACCUGGGCCUCACACGUACUACAAUGGCUGUCAACAGAGGGAAGCAAAGCCGCGAGGUGGAGCGAACCCCUAAAAGCAGUCUUAGUUCGGAUUGUAGGCUGCAACCCGCCUACAUGAAGUCGGAAUUGCUAGUAAUCGCAGAUCAGCAUGCUGCGGUGAAUACGUUCCCGGGCCUUGUACACACCGCCCGUCACGCCAUGGGAGUCGGUAACACCCGAAGCCUGUAGUCUAACCGCAAGGAGGACGCAGUCGAAGGUGGGAUUGAUGACUGGGGUGAAGUCGAACAAGGUA
rnacentral:rRNA from 1 species